UCAGUUCAGACUGCAGGCUGCAACUCGCCUGCAUGAAGUCGGAAUUGCUAGUAAUCGUAGGUCAGCAUACUACGGUGAAUACGUUCCCGGGCCUUGUACACACCGCCCGUCAAACCAUGAGAGUUGGCAACACCCGAAGUCGGUAGUCUAACCGCAAGGAGGACGCCGCCGAAGGUGGGGUUGAUGAUUAGGGUUAAGUCGUAACAAGGUAGC
rnacentral:rRNA from 1 species